CGUAAAUAUUUAUAUAAUUUUAAUUAUUAAUAUAUUAUUUUAAUAUAAUUUUUUAAAAAUAAUAUUUUUUAACUAUAUAAUAAUUAUUUUUAAUUAAAAUAAUUAUUUUUAAUAUAAUUAAUAUUACCCGCGGGUUAAGCGGGUUACCCGCGGGUUUUUGCGGGGCGGGUGCGGGUAGAAAUUUUUUUGUUUGUGAGUUAUGCGGGUCGAUUUUUUGAAUCAAAAAAAUGAUUCAACCCGCAGCGGGGCGGGAC
rnacentral:lncRNA from 1 species